AAAAUCCUGAGAUGCUCGAACAGCUUUUGAUAUUCGACCGACAUAAGAGAUAAGGGACUUUCAAAAUUCUUAAGGAUGUCAGGCUUCAACAGCGUAUAAGCUGUAUUGGAAAUGUACCAAUCAGAAGAAGGCAGAGCUAAGAUGCGAAAGACCCACCUGCGAGACGGCGGGUAUGAAUAAAUUAGCGUAACGGCAGAUUGGGAUUUAA
rnacentral:other from 1 species